AAUAAAUUGACCUAACAAUGAGCUAAAUGUGGCCAUCAGGGUCAAGUCCAUGGAGCCGCAUUUAAAGGUAGUCGUGUACUAUAAUUAUGUACACAUACAGGAAACAAGAACAUACUCAUAAAACUUAGAACACACAUCUAAUCACUAUUGCGACUACCAAAGUAUUGCAUUGAUCACUUAACGUCAAUUGAUGCUGAAGGCCAUUUUUGUGUUCAUUUCACCAGAAAAUCAAGAAAUGAAGAUGCCUGUAGAGCCCACCAGCUCCUCAGGUAAUGUGCGGGAAAGUCAUAAUUUGCUAUAUUGUAGGCAGUACUACUGUGCUGCAUGUGUUCUGACGGGGAGAAAGCAGACAAAAUGCAAAGCUGUUAUAACUUCUGAACUUCUUAAAUCUGAACCUUCUUUUUAUAUAUUUAUUUUAGGGAAAAGAAAAAGUAUGGAAUUGACCCAGGGUGAGGCCAAGAGUUACAAAGGGGGAAACAAACUGUGUGCGACCCAGAGUGUGGCAUCCAGCUCCAAAGGUAAAACUAAAUCCAUUCAUUCCUUUAUUUUUUAUAUGCUUAAUCAGCACACAUUAAUAAAUAAUUAAAUAUUGACAGAAUACUAAGUACAGUUCAAUUUAGU
rnacentral:lncRNA from 1 species